GAAAGAUGGUUUCGGCUAUCGCUUACAGAUGGGCCCGCGGUGCAUUAGCUAGUUGGUAGGGUAAUGGCCUACCAAGGCAACGAUGCAUAGCCGACCUGAGAGGGUGAUCGGCCACACUGGGACUGAGACACGGCCCAGACUCCUACGGGAGGCAGCAGUAGGGAAUCUUCCGCAAUGGACGAAAGUCUGACGGAGCAACGCCGCGUGUAUGAAGAAGGUUUUCGGAUCGUAAAGUACUGUUGUUAGAGAAGAACAAGGAUAAGAGUAACUGCUUGUCCCUUGACGGUAUCUAACCAGAAAGCCACGGCUAACUACGUGCCAGCAG
rnacentral:rRNA from 1 species